UCGGUCCCUAUCUGCCGUGGGCGCUGGAGAAUUGAGGGGGGCUGCUCCUAGUACGAGAGGACCGGAGUGGACGCAUCACUGGUGUUCGGGUUGUCAUGCCAAUGGCACUGCCCGGUAGCUAAAUGCGGAAGAGAUAAGUGCUGAAAGCAUCUAAGCACGAAACUUGCCCCGAGAUGAGUUCUCCCUGAGGCUUUAAGUCUCCUGAAGGAACGUUGAAGACGACGACGUUGAUAGGCCGGGUGUGUAAGCGCAGCGAUGCGUUGAGCUAACCGGUACUAAUGAACCGUGAGGCUUAACCUU
rnacentral:rRNA from 1 species